GACGAACGCUGGCGGCGUGCUUAACACAUGCCAGUCGAACGGAAAGGCCCUGCUUUUGUGGGGUGCUCGAGUGGCGAACGGGUGAGUAACACGUGAGUAACCUGCCCUUGACUUUGGGAUAACUUCAGGAAACUGGGGCUAAUACCGGAUAGGAGCUCCUGCUGCAUGGUGGGGGUUGGAAAGUUUCGGCGGUUGGGGAUGGACUCGCGGCUUAUCAGCUUGUUGGUGGGGUAGUGGCUUACCAAGGCUUUGACGGGUAGCCGGCCUGAGAGGGUGACCGGCCACAUUGGGACUGAGAUACGGCCCAGACUCCUACGGGAGGCAGCAGUGGGGAAUAUUGCACAAUGGGUGGAAGCCUGAUGCAGCAACGCCGUGUGCGGGAUGACGGCCCUCGGGUUGUAAACCGCUUUCGCUCAUGACGAAGCUUUGUGUGACGGUAGUGGGUAAAGAAGCACCGGCUAACUACGUG
rnacentral:rRNA from 1 species